rnacentral:rRNA from 1 species
GACGAACGCUGGCGGCGUGCUUAACACAUGCAAGUCGAACGGGCCUUGUCCCCUUUUUUUUGGGGGUGGGGUUAGUGGCGAACGGGUGAGUAACACGUGAGUAACCUGCCCCUCACUUCUGGAUAACCGCUUGAAAGGGUGGCUAAUACGGGGUGUUCUGGCCUGCUCGCAUGGGUGGGUUUGGAAAGAUUCGACCGGUUUUGGUUGUUUUGGUGGGGGAUGGGCUCGCGGCCUAUCAGCUUGUUGGUGGGGUGAUGGCCUGCCAAGGCUUUGACGGGUAGCCGGCCUGAGAGGGUGGGCGGUCACACUGGGACUGAGACACGGCCCAGACUCCUACGGGAGGCAGCAGUGGGGAAUAUUGCACAAUGGGCGCAAGCCUGAUGCAGCGACGCCGCGUGAGGGAUGGAGGCCUUCGGGUUGUGAACCUCUUUCGCCAGUGAAGAAGGUCCUGCUCUUUGUGGUGGGAUUGACGGUAGCUGGGUUAAUGAAGCGCCGGCUAACUACGUG